rnacentral:rRNA from 1 species
AUUUGACCUCAAAUCAGGUAGGAGUACCCGCUGAACUUAAGCAUAUCAAUAAGCGGAGGAAAAGAAAAUAACAAUGAUUCCCCUAGUAACUGCGAGUGAAGAGGGACAAGCUCAAAUUUUAAAUCUGUUAGGUUUACCUAACCGAGUUGUAAUUUGAAGAGGCGUUUUCUGUGUUUCUGAUCAGCCCAAGUCCUUUGGGAUAGGGCAUCAUGGAGGGUGAGAAUCCCGUUCGGUUGGUCAGAUUCGCUUUACGAUACGUCAUCUAAGAGUCAAGUUGUUUGGGAUUGCAGCUUAAAAUGGGAGGUAAAUUUCUCCUAAGGCUAAAUAACGGCGAGAGACCGAUAGCGAACAAGUACCGUGAGGGAAAGAUGAAAAGAACUUUGAAAAGAGAGUUAAACAGUACGUGAAAUUGUUGAAAGGGAAACGAUUGAAGCCAGUCGUACCUUCGGGUAAUCAGCCUUUCGGGUGCGAUUCUGUGGAGCGUGAGGAGUUAAACGCCUUCAUGCCUGCAUAUUCGUGCACUUUGGGUGUACUUGCCCGUGUGGUAGGUUAACAUCAAUUUCGGAUAUCAUAAAAUGGCUGGAGGAAUGUAGCUUCGGUCUCGUACUGAAGUGUUAUAGCCUCUGGUAGAUGUGAUGACCGGGAUUGAGGAUUGCAACGAAUACCUUUUGGGCUACCCGCCUGAUCUCUGAAAGUUGCUCUGGUGCCGAAAGCUUGCUUACGGUUAUCAAAGUUGACGUUCAAAAGGUUAGAACGGGUUAAAUUCGUUAAGGAUGUUGACGUAAUGGCUUUAAACGACCCGUCUUGAAACACGGACCAAGGCGUCUAACAUAUAUGCGAGUGUU